GGCCUCAUUGGCCGGAAGGGAUUCCUUCCGGUCGAUGAGGCUGUUCCACCUCAUUGAUCGGAAGGAAUUCCUUCCGGUCAAUGAGGCU
rnacentral:miRNA from 1 species